rnacentral:misc_RNA from 1 species
GUAGGUGAACCUGCGGAGGGAUCAUUCACAUGAUUUACUUUAUAAACAAACUGUGAACUUUUAUUUUAACUAUUCGUAGAUUUUAUUUUUAACUAAUUUGGUUUAUUAUUUUCUACUGUCAUUCGAUGAACAUUAGAUGACUGGAUAUAUUAUACUUCAAAAAUAUAAUCUUUCUCAGUUGAUUUGCUGUAUUGAUUAAACAUCUUACAACAAUCACCAAAAACAUAGAAACAACUCUAUGCCCUGGAUAUCUUGGUUCUC